rnacentral:rRNA from 1 species
GACGAACGCUGGCGGCGUGCUUAACACAUGCAAGUCGUACGACAGCAUUUCCUUUUAGGUUGUGUUUGGAGUGGCGAACGGGUGAGUAACACGUGAGUGACCUGCCCUUCACUUUGGGAUAACGUGCGGAAACGUGCGCUAAUACCAAAUAUUCGCAUUUCUGCUGCAUGGUGGGGUGUGGAAAGGGGCCUUCGGGUUCGUGGUGGGGGAGUGGGCGUCGCGGCCUAUCAGCUGUGUUGGUGGGUGAU